AUUGAACGCUGGCGGCAUGCUUUACACAUGCAAGUCGAACGGCAGCGCGGGCUUCGGCCUGGCGGCGAGUGGCGAACGGGUGAGUAAUGCAUCGGAACGUGCCCAGUAGUGGGGGAUAGCCCGGCGAAAGCCGGAUUAAUACCGCAUACGACCUGAGGGGGAAAGCGGGGGACCGAAAGGCCUCGCGCUAUUGGAGCGGCCGAUGUCGGAUUAGCUAGUUGGUGGGGUAAAGGCUUACCAAGGCGACGAUCCGUAGCUGGUCUGAGAGGACGACCAGCCACACUGGAACUGAGACACGGCCCAGACUCCUACGGGAGGCAGCAGUGGGGAAUUUUGGACAAUGGGGGAAAGCCUGAUCCAGCCAUGCCGCGUGCGGGAAGAAGGCCUUCGGGUUGUAAAGCGCUUUUGGUCGGGAAGAAAGCCUCUAGGCUAAUACCCUGCGGGGAUGACGGUACCGGAAGAAUAAGCACCGGCUAACUACGUG
rnacentral:rRNA from 1 species